GUUUAUUGAUGGUAGCUCGCGAAGCUCCUCGUGAAUAUCGAGUGGAUUACAAAGAGGCGCUUGGGUUCGAAGUUGUUGGAUUAAUUCACUUUAGCAACACUUAUUUAGCGAUACGACGGAACUCGAUCGAGCGUCGACAUCGUUCGUCGCGUGUUCCUUUUACACUCUCCCUUUCUUCACUUUUACGAAAAUCAAAACGAACAAAAAGGUCCGCUACGGACAUAAUAAUUGCUACGACGUUCCAUCUCUAUCGUCCGUUUUUUUUUUCAGAUCGAUUUCGCCCAGUUUACCCUUUCCUUGUCCAUCCCUGUUCCAUGCCUCGAACGAAGAGGAAGGACCAGAAUCGAGGAAAAGGGACUUUUUGGUAACCGGAGAAGGGGAUGUUACACACGAAACAUUAAUAUUCUCGUUUCGGUUGAUACAGGCAAAAUGCUACGGGCUCGUUAAGGACUGUGACCGUUUACAUUCAUAAUAAUUCCGUGAUUUACUCCUCACUGUACCUGUGAUUCUAUUAAAGCUUGUUCACGAAUUUUCCCUGGUGGCAGCAGCUUUUACAUUCGGGGUAAUAACGGAUAUCGUUACGAACUCAAACAAAAAGCGAUACGUUUGACAGAGAAAAAGAAGACCUUAUCUUCAGGACCGCUUACGGGUCUGUCACGAGUUUGCCCUCGUAGCAGCGGUUUUAUCGCUGCCAGCAAUGUGAUACAAAGUGGAUAUUCCAGUGUAAAAAAAACGUUAUAUUUAACAAACAACAUGAAAGAAAAAAAGUAUGGGUUCUCCCACUCUUGUUACCAUUUUCGCCAUCGCUGCCCCAAAGGUUACCAUCAGGAAAUUCCAUGGACAGGCUGCAUUAAGCUUACUCCACGCCUACAUACUUUUGCCCGCAAAAAAUGGAAAUAAAUGUAGAGGUAACUUGAGAAGAAUCCAAGGAAAGGGAGAGACUGAGGUAUUACGAAGAAAGCUUAAGGAACACAAGGAAAUUCUAGGAAGAUCUUUAAGAUAGCCCAGGGAGAACAAAGAAGACUAACUUAAAUAUUUUUCUUCAAGUAAACAAUAGUCUAUGUUGCACAUGAGUGUACGCAAUGAAGACUGGUAUAUUGAUAAAAUAAUACCCAGAAAAAUUACGUAAAUGUAAGAAAAUAAAAUGAAAGGGUCUACAAAAAAAAUCAGCGCAUCUAACAACAAGAUUGGGCAAAUGUUUAGUUUGUAAAUGAAAUAUCUGUAUGUAGGUUUGGAUUAAGAUUUUACAAUUAGUAUCAAUGAAAAUACUUUCACGAUGAAACUUUUUCGCUUUUUCUCAGUCUGUGAAGUUAGUUCGAUAAAAAUACCAGGAAUACGUAAGAUAUUGUUGAAUAGAUGUUACAUAUGGGUAAACGAACGAACGAGUCGAGUGAGGGGAAUACGAUUUCGAUUUGUACUUGUGAAAUCAUAACGGAACGGAGGUGUGCUAAUGCAAACAAUUCUAUCGAUGCGAUCCGAUGUGACGAUAUUUACUUCUACGUAAUAAAUAACAAAAUGGGAUUUAACUUUAUUUCGAACUCCAUUAAAAAUGAAAACUCUUGACGCUGCACAUUGAUACGGUUUUCGUUUCCACGCACGAACAAACAUUGUUUAUUUGUUUAUUAUACAAAGGACUUAAACGCUAAAGUGACGCGAAAAGUUGUUAAUGAACAUACAUAGGUCAAAGGUGAGAUGUUUGUAAUUUCUAAAUGUGAUUUAAUUAACGUUUGUUCGCGCGCGAAAGCGCAAAAGGACGCAAGGUGACAUGGCACGAUAGCUUAAUUAUUAAACGAUAAAAGGAGAGGGAACGGAUAUGGUACUUACAACCCUUUGCACUUGAAACGUUUUACAUGUUUUCUUCCUGUCGUGAACGAUGGUGUCGAAACGAAAAUUCGUUAAACCUCAACUAUUAUUAGCGAAAAGGUCUCUAAUAUUUCCAGCUAAAUAUGGAACCUCCAUUAUCUGAAAUUCGAAUAUUUUCGCAAAAAGAGCCUGUAUUUGGUUCACUCUGUGUACUCCGUCCCUCUCGUCAAUAAACUCUAAAGUUUCAAAUAAUUAGUAACUACAAAGCUUUCACAGUAUUGCAAAAAGAACUAAUAAAAUUCUGGAUAAUCGAAUAGUUUCUCUAAUCAGAAUUCUAUGUCGUCUUUCUAUUUACGUGGAUAAUGAAGGUUCUACUGUAACACUAAUAAACGAAUGACAGUAUUGUAUUUGUUAACAUACAAGUACAACAGGUUCCCAAAACUGUAAGACGCGUCGAAAAGAAAGGGAUUCUAGUUAAUUCGCCUGCUUUCAUACGUAUUUACAAGACGCCUGUAAACGGACAUCUGAGAUGUAAUUAACACAUUCGUGGUCGUCAUUUAAAUUUACAAACUCAUCGUUUUUAAAAACAAAUUCCCCAAUUUCUUUGGGUGAAUUUAAAAAUCUUCAAAUUGAUCGUAGAAUUGCCAGCCACGAAAGCGUUAAUUGUUAUAACUCGUGUAUCACGCCUAUCGCACUAACGAGGCUAUCGUCGGACGAUGGCAAUCGUUUGUCGAUAAUAAAAACACGGCCUUCAACUCUGUAGGCUCGCAAUUAAACAUUUAAACUUCGUAUACCGCAUAGACGUGUCUAUCGCAAUCGAUUCUUUGCCUCGGUAGGUGCAUACAGUAGGCCUUGGUACUCAUUCUGUGAAAUUACAUUUUUUUUGACAUAUCUGACACAUCUUUUGACCAUGUGGAUGGUAACUCUGUACGUAGCUUAGCGUGAAGCUUAUGAUAUUUAGAGGUACAUACGGUUACAAUAGAGGCCUCUGUUAAAAGAGAGUGUAGGAUUUUUUCAAUUUUUAAACUCAUGGAGGGUUACUUAGAACUUAAGGAGGGUUCAGAAAGAAGGGUAAAGAAGGUUCCUACACUUUCUGUUAACUGAGGAAAACCUAUACGUGACCGUAUAAUUACAUACAAUUCUCUAACGUUAAUUAAUUCGUAUAAUUAUAAGUACCGCACGCAAUGAACGAUUUACAAUUAAGACACGUCGUAGCCAAAUGUUUAAAGUACGAAGAUCUAACACGAGCCAUAUAGCAUUCAUAAAAUUGACAAACCUGUCUCGUCAUAAAUCGCGAUAAGUCUCUGUGCGCAGUGUCUGGAACGCUGCACGAGCUGCAAUUCUCUGUCGUUAUAUUAAAAUAAGAAUAUAUAAAAUUAUAAAACUAUCAACAAAUGUACACGUCGACAAACAAUGUCUCGAAAAUGAUAAAACUUCUCAGAGGGAACGAGAAAACGCUGCCGACUUUCGGGUCUGGAUGUUCCUAUUUCUGACGGGAAAAUUCCAGGAAAAUUAAAUUGCAAAUAUCCCUUAACUUAUAAAUCUUGUAUACUCAUAAAUAAGAUAGUUCUUCGAUCAGAUUGAAAGAAAUCGUUGCAACUAUCAAGAGUUAUAACUAAACUGGGAAAUAGGCCAACGAUAAAUUAUAAUCUUGUAAUAAUCGUAACUCGUUUGCUAAAGCAAAUAUCUUAAAAUAAAACAAAAGAUUGAAUAAACCCAACUCGAAAGUCGACGAUUGCGACAACACAAUAGGUGUAGGCAAAUUGAGCUUUGGUCAAGGUGACCAGUUUUGUGCAAUGAAAAUGUGAACGAAGGUAGGAAAGUCGUGUAAAUUUUUGGCGCAUGUAAUUCACCGGUGUGUUCUUGAUUCUCGAGGGUAACCUUUUUGUAUUGACUAAACUCAGAAUCUUUUUGAGCGAUGAUCCACUAGCUACCUGUACUUUCUGUGCUUUAUUAUCUUUUUUUUUGUAUUUCACCCUUUCACUGCAGAUCGCUGCCAUUUGAAUAAUUCAUUUAUUUCCGGUUUAUUAUAGCUCGAUCUAGAUUUAACGCAUCUACUACGUCGUCUACAGCGAAAGAGUUAAACGUAAUGUCCAAAAGGGGAGUGUUCUAAAUACUUUUUUCUCUUUUUUUGUUUCGGUAUAUCAACGUUAGCUACAAAACGUUCUAAAACCCUGAGAUACGAAUUCGAAAACCUCAAUGCGUUUCUAUGAGAAAAUUAGUCGUGAUAGUCAGGUUUCCUGAUGGUUUUCAAAGUGUACCCUCUCAGCACGCAAUAAAACGUUUGCAAAAAUUGACAAUACAUCUGGUAUUUUGCGAAACGAACAAGAAGUCGAGAUGGAAUUCAAAGUGAGCCAUCUUCGAGGGAUCACUAGUGUCAACUGAAUGUAUCGACGAAUAGAAAUUAAUGUAUACCGUGUUUAUCGCGUGCUGCAGAAUAAGUAUAAAUACUCGAGGUAUAAAAGUGCGGUGUUGUGCGCAACGCAGCUAAACAAUAUGAAAUAUACUUAUCGACUUGGAAUCAAAUUGUGCUUCCAAAUCGAUUACGUCGAAACAUCGUUGUACGAUACCAACAACAGAAAAAUUGAUCCGGAACAAAAUUCCGUAAAAUUCUUAGUCAGAGCGAUAGCGAACCGUAUACGGAAUGUUUCAAAGUUAAAUAAUUAAACUUUGUAUGUUCCGCGAGUAACAGAAAUGAGUAUUAUAUAAAAAUAGAUUCGAAAAGAAGAAGGUUAAUGUUCUCAAUAAUUUUAGAUAGCAAAUAUGUAGAACAGAUAGAAUGAAAAAUUGCAAUUGCUUUCGUAUCGAUAGAACGCUACAAAGGUUAAUCGCUUAAUUUUGAAACAGCCUGUACGUGCAAAUUUCAG